CCUACGGGGGGCAGCAGUGGGGGAUAUUGCACAAUGGGGGAAACCCUGAUGCAGCGACGCCGCGUGUGGGAAGACGGUCUUCUGGAUUGUAAACCACUGUCCCCAGGGACGAAAAUGACGGUACCUGGGGAGGAAGCUCCGGCUAACUACGUGCCAGCAGCCGCGGUAAUAGGUAGGGAGCAAGCGUUGUCCGGAAUUACUGGGUGUAAAGGGAGCGUAGGCGGGGAUGCAAGUUGCGGGUAAAAACUACGGGAUCAACCGAUAGUCGCACUCAAAACUGCAGCUCUUGAGUGAAGUAGAGGCAGGCGGAAUUCAUGGUGUAGCGGUGAAAUGCGUAGAUAUUAGGAGGAACACCAGUGGCGAAGGC
rnacentral:rRNA from 1 species